rnacentral:rRNA from 1 species
UACGUAGGGUGCGAGCGUUGUCCGGAAUUACUGGGCGUAAAGAGCUCGUAGGUGGUUUGUCGCGUUGUCCGUGAAAACUCACAACUCAAUUGUGGGCGUGCGGGCGAUACGGGCAGACUGGAGUACUGCAGGGGAGACUGGAAUUCCUGGUGUAGCGGUGGAAUGCGCAGAUAUCAGGAGGAACACCGGUGGCGAAGGCGGCACUCUGGGCCGGUACUGACGCUGAGGAGCGAAAGCGUGGGUAGCAAACAGG